AAGCAACACUCUGUGGUAGACAUCCAUGUUGCCUGCUGCAAUUUUAAGCUUGCUAUAACAAAGAAGUCUAACCUAUUCCAGUGGUCUCUGCUGGGUGAGAUCAUUUUGUUAUAUAGACUUGGACAAC
ensembl:snoRNA SNORA28 small nucleolar RNA, H/ACA box 28